AUGAGUUCUGCCGGCAGCGGGAGGGGCAAGGGCAAGGCGGUGUCCAAGACCGUCUCGCGGUCUUCCAAGGCCGGCCUCCAGUUCCCCGUCGGCCGCAUCGCCAGGUACCUCAAGAUCGGCAAGUACGCCCAGCGCGUCGGUGCCGGCGCCCCUGUCUACCUCUCCGCCGUCCUCGAGUACCUCGCCGCUGAGGUCCUGGAGCUCGCCGGCAAUGCUGCGCGCGACAACAAGAAGACCCGGAUCGUGCCGCGCCACAUCCAGCUGGCGGUCCGCAACGAUGAGGAGCUGAGCCGGCUUCUGGGCGCGGUCACCAUCGCCGCCGGUGGUGUGCUGCCCAACAUCCACACCACGCUGCUCCCCAAGAAGGUCGGCAAGGGCAAGGGCGACAUCGGCUCCGCGUCCCAGGAGUUCUAG
rnacentral:rRNA from 1 species